rnacentral:rRNA from 1 species
CAGUAGCCGCGGUAAUACGUAGAGUGCGAACGUUAAUCGGAAUUACUGGGCGUAAAGCGUGCGCAGGCGGUUGUGUAAGACAGGUGUGAAAUCCCCGGGCUUAACCUGGGAACUGCGCUUGUGACUGCACAGCUAGAGUAUGGCAGAGGGGGGUGGAAUUCCACGUGUAGCAGUGAAAUGCGUAGAGAUGUGGAGGAACACCGACGGCGAAGGCAGCCCCCUGGGCCAAUACUGACGCUCAUGCACGAAAGCGUGGGGAGCAAACAGGAUUAGAUACCCGCGUAGUCCCUGUCUCUUAUAC